rnacentral:rRNA from 1 species
UACGUAGGGGGCAAGCGUUGUCCGGAUUUAUUGGGCGUAAAGAGCACGUAGGCGGUCAUUCGCGUUCCUGAUGACAGGGUGGAGCUUAACUCCAUCAGGAGUGGGAAAACGGGAUGACUUGAGGACUUCAGAGGGAUGCGGAAUUCCAGGUGGAGCGGUGAAAUGCGUAGAGAUCUGGAAGAACACCGAAGGCGAAGGCAGCAUCCUGGGAAGGACCUGACGCUCAAGUGCGAAAGCCAGGGGAGCGAACGGG